rnacentral:misc_RNA from 1 species
UUGGUUAACAGAAUGCUGGGAGAAAUAGCUACGCCCCCCUUGCAAUGGAGACAAAACAUAAGUACGAAAUUAAAAGCAAAGUAAAUACAGAAUUCACAAUGAUAGCUUGAUGGUGGCAGUUCUAUCACUGCCAUGCUUCAAAACAACCACUGAAGAAUAUAGGCAUAGGAAUUAGAAAAGCCAUGUAGAAUCCUAUGAAUAACUACAAAUAUGUCAUCUAGAAAGAAACAAGUGAAAUUCAUUUUCAACAUGUUCAAAAGACCGAUGAAGUAGAAUAUUUGAAAACUUGAAGAGUGAAAUCCAUAAACUGUGAUAAUAUUGUUUGUCAUGGCCAAAAAACAAACAAUGCACCAUAUAUUUUUGAAAUAAAUGCACUGCCU